rnacentral:lncRNA from 1 species
GCGGCGCCGCGGGGCCUUAGCGGACGGAGGGGAGCGCGGGGGUCACCGGGCCGGGCCGGCAGCCCUAGAGCUCGGCCUGGCGGGGACCCUGGGCCAGCCCCGCGCCUCCGUGGCCCGGGCGUCUCGUGCGUGUCCGCGAACUCGCGUGCGCGCGUCACCUCGGACCGCAGCAUGGCUCGGAGGGCGGCCCUACUCGCGCCGCCCUAGUGCUGCGAAGGGCCUCGGAGCCCAAACCCGGAACCGCCAUCUGGGACUGGGAAGACGACAUGGCCAGAAGCCGGUGGAGUCUCGCUCUGUCACCCAGGCUGGAGUGCAAUGGCACGGUCUCAGCUCACUGCAACCUCUGCCUCCCAGAUUCAAGCAAUUCUGCCUCAACCUCCUGAGUAGCUGGGACUACAGGCACGUGUCACCACGCCCAGCUAUUUUUUUUUUUUUUUUUUUUUUUUUGAGACAGAGUCUCCCUCUGUCGCCCAGGCUGGAGUGCAAUGGCGCAAUCUCAGCUCACUGCAAGCUCCGCCUCCCCGGUUCCCGCCAUUCUCUUGCCUCAGCCUCCCGAGUAGCUGGCACUACAGGCGCCUGCCACCCAUGACCGGGUAAUUUUUUUUGUAUUUUUUAGUAGAGACGGGGUUUCACUGUGUUAGCCAGGAUGGUCUCGAUCUCCUGACCUCAUGAUCCGCCCGCCUCGGCCUCCCAAAGUGCUGGGAUUACAGGCGUGAGCCACCAUGCCCGGCCUUAAUAACUUUUUAAAGGAUGUCAAGUUAAUGGAAUGUAUUCUGCUUUAGAAAAUAAAACUCUUAGGUUUUCAAAACUUAGCAGCCCCAGCAUUACCAAGGGCCUGCCUACCGUUUACAGUAUGUGAAUCCUACUUCCUUUUCAUGGUUGUAAGACUGGGAUUUUCUGGGAGCCGACCUGCAGGAGUCCACAGGCCACCCGUUAGGACUGUGCACGCUCCUCCACAAACAUGCCUGUGGGGGGAUCCUUGGCUCUCUCUGCAGGGGUGCGUUGGGUGUGCACCAGCUGGGAAGGAAGGAUCUGUCGGAACUGCAAUCAAAGCCACGGCAGGCCUCCCAGGGUCUUACUGGUGGUGAAAACAACCAGCUUCCUCGUCCCUCCCUCAAGCAUGGCAACCACCGCCCUGAGACUCAAAGAUACCUGGAGGAGUGUGAUCGGGCUGACCUGUUGCUCUUAUCUGGAAUUCUUUGAGGGUGAUGGGAGAUCACUUCUUUUUUUUUUUUUUUUUUUUUUUUGAGACAGGAUCUUGUUUUGUCAACCAGGCUGGAGUGCAGGUUCAGGUGAUUCUUCCGCCUCAGCCUCCCCAAGUAGGCUGAGUAGCUGAGAAAACAGAUGCGCACCACCAUGCCUGGUUAAUUUUUGGAUGUUUUGCAGCCAUGUGGUUUCACCAUGUUGUCCAGUCUGGUCUUGAACUCCUGAGCUCAAGGGAUCCUCCCACCUCGGCCUCCCAAAGCAUUGAGAUUACAGGUAUGAGCCACUGUACCCGGCUACCCAGGAGAUUACUAUUUUUUGGCAUAAAACCAAACAAAACUAUUCAUUAGUUUAUCCACUCAACAUUGAUUUAUUAUUCCUGACUGCAGCCAACAACAUUGUGAAUACUUUCCCUGCCUCAAGCUCUGUUCUAGGUCCUAGAACAUUCAUGACAAUUUGUUUCUCUGCCCUCUGGCAGGUGAGAAAACUUUGUAAGAAGUUUCAAUAGCAAAAAGUAUGAGAAGAUGUACAAUAGAUCUGGGACUAUUUGUAACAAACCCGGUGGAAGAUGUAGGAGCAGAGGUGGAAGGCCUUAAAGAGGGUCCUGCGCAUGCCGGGCGGGCCUCCAACAGAGAAAACACACAACCUGGCCAGGCACAGUGGCUCACGCCUGUAAUCCCAGCACUUUGGGAGGCCAGUGCGGGUGGAUCACCUGAGGUCAGGAGUUCGAGAUCAGCCUGGCCAAUGUAGUGAAACCCCAGUCUCUACCAAAAAUACAAAAAUUAGCCGGGCUUGGCACAGGCUUGCAAUCCCAGCUGAGGCAGGAGAAUCGCUUGAACCUGGGAGGUGGAGGUUGCAAUGAGCCAAGAUCAUGCUUUUGCACUCCAGCCUGGACGACAGAGUGAGACUCUGUCUCAAAACAAAAUAAAUAAAAUAGACACGCAAUCCAUACCACAGCCACCAGGGUGAUUGUCCAGGUUGUAUUUCUGCUGACAUCGACCCUUCAUGCCUUCCUCUUGUUGACCCUUCCAGCUACACCUAGCUCGGUCCUCUUCGGAGCCACGCCAACACCCAGGUUCCUCUGCAGUGCAUCCCCAUGGGGAUUUACCCGGUGAUUGAUUUUAUUUCUUUAUUUAUUUUUAUUAUUAUUAUUAUUUUUGAGACAGAGUUUCACUCUUGUUUCCCAGGCUGGAGUGCAGUGGCGCAAUCCCAGCUCACUGCAACCUCUGCCUCCCGGGUUCAAGCGAUUAUCCAGUCUCAG